rnacentral:rRNA from 1 species
GCAUCGUGGGUGGUGGAAAGUUUUUCGGUUGGGGAUGGGCUCGCGGCCUAUCAGCUUGUUGGUGGGGUAGUGGCCUACCAAGGCGACGACGGGUAGCCGGCCUGAGAGGGCGACCGGCCACACUGGGACUGAGACACGGCCCAGACUCCUACGGGAGGCAGCAGUGGGAAUAUUGCGCAAUGGGCGGAAGCCUGACGCAGCGACGCCGCGUGGGGGAUGACGGCCUUCGGGUUGUAAACCUCUUUCAGCAGGGACGAAGUUGACGUGUACCUGCAGAAGAAGCGCCGGCUAACUACGUGCCAGCAGCCGCGGUAAUACGUAGGGCGCAAGCGUUGUCCGGAAUUAUUGGGCGUAAAGAGCUCGUAGGUGGCUGGUCGCGUCUGCCGUGAAAGCCCGCAGCUUAACUGCGGGUCUGCGGUGGAUACGGGCCGGCUAGAGGUAGGUAGGGGCAAGUGGAAUUCCUGGUGUAGCGGUGAAAUGCGCAGAUAUCAGGAGGAACACCGGUGGCGAAGGCGGCUUGCUGGGCCUUACCUGACGCUGAGGAGCGAAAGCGUGGGGAGCGAACAGGAUUAGAUACCCUGGUAGUCCACGCUGUAAACGUUGGGCGCUAGGUGUGGGGAUCUUCCACGAUCUCCGUGCCGGAGCUAACGCAUUAAGCGCCCUGCCUGGGGAGUACGGCCGCAAGGCUAAAACUCAAAGGAAUUGACGGGGGCCCGCACAAGCGGCGGAGCAUGUUGCUUAAUUCGACGCGACGCGAGGAACCUUACCAAGGUUUGACAUCACCCGGAAACGCUCAGAGAUGGGCGCCUCUUCGGACUGGGUGACAGGUGGUGCAUGGCUGUUGUCAGCUCGUGUCGUGAGAUGUUGGGUUAAGUCCCGCAACGAGCGCAACCCUUGUUCCAUGUUGCCAGCACGCUCCUUCGGGGGUGGUGGGGACUCAUGGGAGACUGCCGGGGUCAACUCGGAGGAAGGUGGGGAUGACGUCAAGUCAUCAUGCCCCUUAUGUCUUGGGCUGCAAACAUGCUACAAUGGCCGGUACAGAGGGCUGCUAAACCGUGAGGUGGAGCGAAUCCCUAAAAGCCGGUCUCAGUUCGGAUUGGGGUCUGCAACUCGACCCCAUGAAGUCGGAGUCGCUAGUAAUCGCAGAUCAGCAACGCUGCGGUGAAUACGUUCCCGGGCCUUGUACACACCGCCCGUCACGUCACGAAAGUCGGCAACACCCGAAGCCCGUGGCCCAACCACCUUGUGUGGGGGGAGCGGUCGAAGGUGGGGCUGGCGAUUGGGACGAAGUCGUAACAAGGUA